AGCGAACGCUGGCGGCAGGCUUAACACAUGCAAGUCGAGCGGGCACCUUCGGGUGUCAGCGGCAGACGGGUGAGUAACACGUGGGAACGUACCCUUCGGUUCGGAAUAACGCUGGGAAACUAGCGCUAAUACCGGAUACGCCCUUAUGGGGAAAGGUUUACUGCCGAAGGAUCGGCCCGCGUCUGAUUAGCUAGUUGGUGGGGUAACGGCCUACCAAGGCGACGAUCAGUAGCUGGUCUGAGAGGAUGAUCAGCCACACUGGGACUGAGACACGGCCCAGACUCCUACGGGAGGCAGCAGUGGGGAAUAUUGGACAAUGGGCGCAAGCCUGAUCCAGCCAUGCCGCGUGAGUGAUGAAGGCAUUAGGGUUGUAAAGCGCUUUUGUCCGGGACGAUAAUGACGGUACCGGAAGAAUAAGCCCCGGCUAACUUCGUG
rnacentral:rRNA from 1 species